AUGCCACCAAAUCAUUUUCCUUCAAUGAAACCACCUUGUCCGGCCAGAGCGCUUUCCCAAGUCCUUAAUCCUCCUAUAUAUAUGCGCGCGCCGUUGCUGCAGGAUUCCACAAACCAACCGGUGCAAAACAAACACCACAUCCACCUCACCUUUGCUACCUUGCACAAGCGAAGAAGAAGAAGAAGAAGAAGAAGAAGAAGAAGGAGGAGGAGGAGGAGGAGUAGGAGGAGGAGGGGAGGAGGCGUCAUGGACAAGUCAGGUCCAAAGGUUCCAGGUACAACGGUUCCCCCUAACAGGCCAACGCAACCGUCAACCAAUAAGCCGGGGGCACAACGAAGGAAUCCUAAGAAGGGGCGUAACCGUAGGAUAAACGUGAGGCUGACUCAGAAAAAGAGAUGA
rnacentral:rRNA from 1 species